rnacentral:rRNA from 1 species
UACGUAGGUGGCAAGCGUUGUCCGGAUUUACUGGGUGUAAAGGGCGUGUAGGCGGGCUUUUAAGUCAUAUGUGAAAUACCGGGGCUCAACUCCGGAACUGCAUCUGAAACUGGAAGUCUUGAGUACUGGAGGGGAAAGUGGAAUUCCUAGUGUAGCGGUGAAAUGCGUAGAGAUUAGGAGGAACACCAGUGGCGAAGGCGGCUUUCUGGACAGUAACUGACGCUGAGGCGCGAAAGCGUGGGGAGCAAAC